CCCCACCAGGUGGUUUUGUGCCCGCCUUUUCCGCUUUUGCCGCAAGCGGUGAUGCUCUGCGCCGGUUCGGAGCUUGCGGUGGGGGC
rnacentral:tRNA from 1 species